GUGCCAGCCGCCGCGGUAAGACAGAGGGGGCAAGCGUUGCUCGGAAUCACUGGGCGUAAAGGGCGCGUAGGCGGGCGCUCAAGUCGGUCGUGAAAUCUCCGGGCUCAACCCGGCGGGGUCGGCCGAAACUGAGUGUCUUGAGGGAGGCAGAGGAGUCUGGAAUUCCCGGUGUAGCGGUGAAAUGUGUAGAGAUCGGGAGGAACACCGGUGGCGAAGGCGGGACUCUGGGCCUACCCUGACGCUGAGGCGCGAAGGCGUGGGGAGCAAACGGGAUUAGAAACCCUGGUAGUCC
rnacentral:rRNA from 1 species